CAGGCUUUCAUCCUGCUAUGCCCUCACUUUCCAAAACUUUCCAAAGUAAUCUCCAGGGGUGGAAGAGACAAGGAAUUUUUAAAGCAAGUUCAGAGGCAUGGCUGCACAGAUUGAACCUGGAAUCUUCAAGAAAUGAAGAAUGUGCAUCCGAUUUCUCCACUACUCAAAUGUUCUUAGGAACAUCCUCUGCUUACCUGGUACUCCCUCUGCAUUUGAAUUUUUGGCUCACCAAGAAACAGACAUAGAAUCCUGUUAGAAAUUUAAAGUGGAUUGGAGAAGAAACUGAGGCUGAGGAUGAAACAAGGCCUUUCUCCUAAAAAUUGAAUAUAUACACCUGUAGCAAGAGGAGCAGACAGAAAGGAGGUUGCCCAGGUGAGCUAACCUCAUAGUUAAAUAGGAAUGUUUAACAGUAGCAGAAAGCAAAGAGAGCAUGAGCAACUUUUAGCUGUAACAGAGCUGUUAAUAGCUUCUACCCAGCAUCAUGAAUUAGAUAAACC
rnacentral:lncRNA from 13 species